AUGAACGCUGGCGGCGUGCCUAAUACAUGCCAGUCGAGCGAACGGACGAGAAGCUUGCUUCUCUGAUGUUAGCGGCGGACGGGUGAGUAACACGUGGAUAACCUACCUAUAAGACUGGGAUAACUUCGGGAAACCGUAGCUAAUACCGGAUAAUAUUUUGAACCGCAUGGCUCAAAAGUGAAAGACGGUCUUGCUGCCACUUAUAGAUGGAUCCGCGCUGCAUUAGCUAGUUGGUAAGGUAACGGCUUACCAAGGCAACGAUGCAUAGCCGACCUGAGAGGGUGAUCGGCCACACUGGAACUGAGACACGGUCCAGACUCCUACGGGAGGCAGCAGUAGGGAAUCUUCCGCAAUGGGCGAAAGCCUGACGGAGCAACGCCGCGUGAGUGAUGAAGGUCUUCGGAUCGUAAAACUCUGUUAUUAGGGAAGAACAUAUGUGUAAGUAACUGUGCACAUCUUGACGGUACCUAAUCAGAAAGCCACGGCUAACUACGUG
rnacentral:rRNA from 1 species